rnacentral:rRNA from 1 species
CAGCCGCCACGGUAAUACGAAGGGUGCAAGCGUUACUCGGAAUUACUGGGCGUAAAGCGUGCGUAGGUGGUGGUUUAAGUCCGUUGUGAAAGCCCUGGGCUCAACCUGGGAAUUGCAGUGGAUACUGGGUCACUAGAGUGUGGUAGAGGAUAGUGGAAUUUCCGGUGUAGCAGUGAAAUGCGUAGAGAUCGGAAGGAACAUCUGUGGCGAAGGCGACUAUCUGGGCCAACACUGACACUGAGGCACGAAAGCGUGGGGAGCAAACAGGAUUAGAGACCCCGGUAGUCCCUGUCUCUUAUAA